AACAGAAGAAUGGCUGGCCGGCUGUUCUGUCUGGGCUUUUGAGAGUGCCCAGUGGACCCCAUGCCCCCAUCCUGGCCAGGACUGAGGGAGGCCUCUACCUGGGUCCUCAGGCACCAUUCAGGACCCUGGAUCUCAACGAGCAGACUCAAA